rnacentral:rRNA from 1 species
GAUCGAAGUAACAACUCAUCAACCCUGUGACAUACCUAAAACGUUGCUUCGGCGGGAACAGACGGCCCUGUAACAACGGGCCGCCCCCGCCAGAGGACCCCUAACUCUGUUUUUAUAAUGUUUUUCUGAGUAAACAAGCAAAUAAAUUAAAACUUUCAACAACGGAUCUCUUGGCUCUGGCAUCGAUAAAGAACGCAGCGAAAUGCGAUAAGUAAUGUGAAUUGCAGAAUUCAGUGAAUCAUCGAAUCUUUGAACGCACAUUGCGCCCGCCAGUAUUCUGGCGGGCAUGCCUGUUCGAGCGUCAUUACAACCCUCAGGCCCCCGGGCCUGGCGUUGGGGAUCGGCAGAAGCCCCCUGUGGGCACACGCCGUCCCUCAAAUACAGUGGCGGUCCCGCCGCAGCUUCCAUUGCGUAGUAGCUAACACCUCGCAACUGGAGAGCGGCGCGGCCAUGCCGUAAAACACCCAACUUCGGAAUGUUGACCUCGAAUCGGGUAAGAAUACCCGCUGAACUUACCCAUAUCAACCAAAAAAGAGGGAAAAA